rnacentral:misc_RNA from 1 species
GAUGAAGAACGCAGCGAAAUGCGAUAAGUAAUGUGAAUUGCAGAAUUCAGUGAAUCAUCGAAUCUUUGAACGCACAUUGCGCCCCCUGGUAUUCCGGGGGGCAUGCCUGUUCGAGCGUCAUUUCACCACUCAAGCCUCGCUUGGUAUUGGGCAACGCGGUCCGCCGCGUGCCUCAAAUCGACCGGCUGGGUCUCCUGUCCCCUAAGCGUUGUGGAAACUAUUCGCUAAAGGGUGUUCGGGAGGCUACGCCGUAAAACAACCCCAUUUCUAAGGUUGACCUCGGAUCAGGUAGGGAUAUCCGCUGAACUUAAGCAUAUCAAUAAGCGGAGGA